UGACCAUCAAUUAGGAAACGCGCGCUUUGCUACCUGCACAAAAGGAAGGCGUUGAGAAGAGUGAGCGUACGAGUCAGCAUCAUCGAGAAAACCCCAGAAAGUGACAAAUACUUCAGAAUUAAAGCAGAUGGACAAUCCCACUGAAGAUGGUGAUUAUUCUGACUCAAGUCUUUUUGGAUCAGAUGAGGAAUACAAACCAACUAAGACAUCCUCUGAGUCGAGUGAUGACGAGGAGAUAUUCCAUCCAAAGGUAGAAAAAUUGUUCUCUUAUGAUACAUCCAGUGAAGACUCUACAAGUCAUCAGACAUAUGAAGCAGAGGAGCACAGUCAUGUCUGCAAUUCGUAAAGAAGCCCCAAAAAGGGAAAAGCAUCUCUCCAAAAGAGGGAAGACUGAAUUGGAUGAUUCGAGUCCAGGCGGGGACCCUGGCGGUCCGAUCCUUGGCUGCAGAAGCUAGCUCUUGGGACAUGGAAUGUCACCUCUCUGGCAGGGAAGGAGCCCGAGCUGGUGUGUGAGGCAGAGAAUUUCCGACUGGAUAUAGUCGGACUUGCCUCCACACACAGCCUGGGUUCUGGUACCAGUUCUCUCGAGAGGGGUUGGACUCUCUUCCACUCUGGAGUUGCUCACGGUGAGAGGCGCAGAGCAG